UAGGAAGAAGAGGAGAGCAAAAGAGAUAAAUUUGAGUGUGGUUAUUCAGAGGAGUUGAUAUCCGAUGUCACAAUGAUUCUAACAAAAUAGAUUUCAUCAUAGUGCUUGACUUUGAUACAUUUCGCAUUUAUCAGGAACUGGGCUCUAUCAUCUACAGUUUCCCUCUACUCCAUCCUUAAUCCUCAACACCUGUACCCUUUUCUCACCAUCUCCUUAUGUUAAUUUUGAGUUUAAGAAUGUAUUGCGGUUUUAAAAUAAUAUUUCAAAGGGCCGGCGCGGAGGCUCACACCUGUAAUCCCAGCACUUUAGAAGGCCAAGGCCGGCGGGUCAUGAGGUCAGGAGAUCGAGACCAUCUGGGCCAACAUGGUGAAACCCUGUCUCUACUAAAAUACAAAAAAAUUAGCUGGGAGUGGUGGUGCGCGCCUCUGGUCCCAGAUACUCGGGAGGCUGAGGCAGGAGAAUCGCUUGAACCCUGGAGGUGGAGCUUGCAGUGAGCUGAGAUUGCACCACUGCACUCCAGCCUGGAGACAGAGUAAGAUUCCGUCUCAAAAAAAAAAAAAAAAUCAAAUAUAUCACCCUUUUUUGAUUACAAAUAGUUUAGUAAAUUCACUAUGCUAAUGCUUUUAUUUUCUCUUUAAAGAUUUGUAAAGAAAGAAAGAAAGAAAGAAAGAAAGAAAUUAUAUUCUCCCAGUUUCUGGUCUAACAUGUAAGGAGCUUGGAUGUCACCACUCCACCCUAAUAAAUGUGGAGAUGAACGAACUGAAAAAUCAACUCUUCUUGGAUCUGCAAGAGAAGUGAGGAUUCAGGGCAAACCAGUGCCCCCAGGAUUGGAAAGACAAAUAGGCAAAGACAGAGAGUCAUGGCUUACUGGAGUACCGAUUCAUGAACUGAAACAUGGGAACAAGUGCUGGGGUAGGAAAAACGGAACUGUAAUUGACUAAUUGCUGGAAACUUAGUGUGGACAAGUAUGAUAGACAAAAGCUUCCGGUAGACCUAGUCAUAGGGGAGCCCAUACAAUUUUGUGAGUUUUAUCUCCUGGAAAACUACUGAGUUCUCAUAGUCAGUACCUGAGAAAAAUCCCCUCAUGAUUCCUGCGGUUGGAAGAGUAAAGGAACCAUCUUGAAAUAUGUCAGAUAAUUAUUUCCUGAGCAAGGUUUGCCCUCAGAAGAAAGUAUUUAACUAGAGCUAACUUAUCUGGGAAAAGGGAAAUAUUUAAUUCCAGCUGGCUCUAGCCUUCCACUUGUAAGAAGAGAAAUACUAAACUCAAGCCCACUCUAGUCAUUAAGGGGUAAGGGGAGAAGAUUGAGAAGCACUUGUGAAGUUUAGUCCUGAGACACACGCUUACUAAAAGACUGAAACCUAAUCAUAGGACUGUAGAAUGCUUUCCCUCCCUACACUCUACCAGCACAUUACUAAAGUUCUGUUUACAGCAGUAUCUUUUACCCAACACAUCAUGUCUGGCUACAUAGAAAAAAUUACCAGGCAUACUAAAAGGCAAAAAAUACAGUUGGAGGAGACAGAGCAGUCUCCUCAGAAUGAGACAGAUACGGCAGAGAUACUGGAAUGAUCAGAUUGGGAUUUUCAAACAACUAUAAUUAAUAUGCUAAAGGCUCUUAUAGAUAUAGGAGACAGAACACAAGAACAAAUAGGCAAUGUAAGCAGAGAGAUGGAAAUUCUAAAAAAACCUUAAACGUUAGAGAUCAAAAACACUAUAACACAAAUGAAGAAUGCCUUUGAUGGAUUAAUUGGUAAAGUGGACAUAGAGGAAGAAUCUCUGAGAAUGAGGAUAUCUCAAUGGAAACCUCCAAAGCUGAAAAGGAAAGAGAAAAAAAGACUUAAAAAUGCCCAGAAUAUGCAAUAGCCAUGGGAAACUACAAAAGGUGUAAAAUACAGGGCACCAGUCACUGGGCUUAGGACCCACCCUGAAUCCAGGAUGAUUUUGUCCCACAAUCAUCAGAGGAAGGAUUAGGCAGCAACAUCUGCUGUUCUGCAGCCUCUGCUGGUGAUACCCAGGCAAACAGGGUCUGGAGUGGACCCCCAGCAAACUCCAACAGACCUGCAGCUGAGGGUCCUAACUGUUAGAAGGAAAACUAACAAACGGAAAGGACUUUCACACCAAAACCCC
rnacentral:lncRNA from 1 species